GAGUCCUAAGACUGGAAUUUCCUGCAUUAUGGAUAUUUCAUGUUGGAAAUAUUGGCUGGUUUGGCAGAAUGAAAAAUAGAUGGCUUUGGCUCUGUGGGAAAUAACACUCUCAGUGGGUUCACUGCGACAUCCUGGAGGCUUAACUUCUAAGUUUGAAAAGGGGAAAUGCCAGUGGACACGAAGCUUAUUGGAAGAAGGCUUAGGGAAUGAAUAUGGAAAGGCCUGCUGCGAAUGGGUGUGCCUCUCCUCGUGGCCCAAGCCUGCUGCCUACCCCAGCUCCGAACAUUUGUUCUAGAGCACCUUCAAGCACUUUCCUGAUGCCGUUUUGAACUCGUGACCUUGGCUGGCAUGUGCAUGGUGAAGAACAGAGAGAAAAUCCUACUCCCAGCUGCCUCUGGCGGGGCUGGUUCUGUCAUCCUCUGGUUCACGUAGGAUGGAUGCUUCGUGAGUCCAGCUUGGCAAGCCCCGUGGCCUUCCUACGUGAGCAGGACUCGAGCUAGUCAUGCUUUUGGCUUGCUCUAUGCCGUUCGCUGAAGGGGUUCCUCAAGAGAGAGAGCACAAGCAGGGGGAGCGGCAGGCAGAAGGAGAAGCAGGCUUCCUGCUGAGCAAGGAUCCCAAUGAGAGACUCGAUCCCAGGACCCUGGGAUCAUGACCUGAGCCGAAGGCAGACGCUUAACCAACUGAGCCACCCAGGCGUCCCGAAUCUUCCCACAUUAUUAAAUAACAUGUCCUUUUAAAAGGAGAUGGACAAACCUGAGAAGGAACUAGUGAGCCUAAGAGCCUCAAAAGAGCCUGUACUAGUAAGAGGGUCCCAAAGGGAACAAUUUUCUAUGACUUUACUCCUCUUGGAAGGAAUGAGGGAAAGUUCAAAAGGACUCUCUGGUGAGAAUGGGCAUGAAAAAUAGACCAAUACAUGGUGGCUCAGGCUUUGUACCUACUAAGACGUUACACUUUUCAGGAUAAUAAGGGGAGCUGUGGCAAGCCUGUGAUCUUCUGAAGUUCCAAGUGGAGGCAUGGAGUGCUCGUGAUGGCAGUAUUUCAUGGAGAAUGUAAUUGAUGUUUGUACUCUAAACUCCAAACCUAGCAAGUCGUUUGAGUGUGAUUUGAGAGAGAAAAAGUCUGUGCCUUGAUCAUCGAUGAUCUUCUGCCCUUCUCACAGACCCCAGCGCCACAAAGGAGCAGAGCCCCUUCAUUUGGCCUUCUACUGCCAUAUCUUCUCUGCUACUGCUCUUCAAAAUUCUGGGAAUCUUCUGAGUCUGGUAAAAAAAGGUGGAUGCUACAUAUAUUUCUGAUUUUGAUUCUCAUAAUAACAUUCCCUAAGAUUUCCAAAAGGCCAACACCUUGAAAAAGCAUGUUAAAUGGCAUAGUGUUUGGUUUUUGAAUGUUUUAAAUGCUGCAUGCAACUUUGGUUGGUCCUGGGUAUGCAUACUGCAUUGAAUUAGAAAUCAGUGCAGUGAUCCUUUUCUGCUUUAUUUUCUGCAAGAAGGUUUAGUAGUAGACAACUCUGUCUGUGGAGCUGGGGUGACUUUCCAAAAGGGAACAUGGAGCCAAGGUUUUCUUUCUCCUUAAGCAGCAGAGCAAAGCUUGGCCUCACACAUGUAAGUUGUGACAGGUCCAUUUCUGGCUGUGUCGGAUCCCAGAAUAUUAUUUCCUCUUGUAUUUCAUGAUUCUGUCACUCCAGGGUUGGAGUCACUCACUCUAUUACCAUCUUAGAUUUCAGUUUCUAUAAUGGGACCAUCUGAAUUCAGCAUUAAUUUUCUUUUCCCUGGGAAGAAAAUAACAGAUCGUUUAUUUAACCCCUUGAGUCAUCAAUUCAUCAAUAGGCCAGGCUCUGUACUUUGGGAUAGUUCAACAAAUACUUUUACCACUGACCACAGAGUUGGAUAGAAUAAUCCCUUUCUGUAGAGAGCACAGGGGAUGAUCCAAGUCAGGGCAUAUGGGGAAUGAUUUCUCUUGCCAUCUGCAUUUUGCAUAGGAUCAUGUAACCACCAGACCAGUAGGCCCUCUCAUUCACCCUGUCAGCUCUAAAUAGAGCAGACUUCCCAAAAAAAUGUGUAGCUAAAUCCGAACAAAGAAAUGGUUUAUGCUCUUCUCAUCACAUCCUUGCAUCGUAGGCAUUAAAAUGCUUCUUUUCUUUUCCUCUUAAGAUCUUUUACUUUAAAAUUUUUAAAAGCUCACAGUGUAUCAGCAUAGUCUUCUUACAUGUUUGUUUGUUUUUGUUGUUGUUUAAGAAUUAAAUAAAGAAAAAACUUUCUCCCCAUCCAGUUUGAACUCCUGUUUUUGUUAAGCUUGUGUUGUUACCCUUUUCACUAGGGUUCAUUUAAAUUAAUCCUCAAAGGUUUGAAACAAAAUGAACUAACAUAUGUAUGUUAAAGGUCAUGUCUAUAUACAAAUCUGUUUGACUAUUUUGACUAAAUAUAUGAAACUACUUAGUAAAUGGA